CUAUCCCCAAUUCAGGCCGCAUAGUCGCCCGCCGCGGGAUGGCCCCGUCGAUGCUGCUCCGCCCCAACCAUCGUCGAUGGCCCCGUCGAUGCUGCUUAGCCACGCCCUCUUCAUCCUCCUCCCCCAUCGUCCUCCAAUGCCCCCAGCUCCCCUCGAUGCAUCGCAGACCACCUGCUCCUCCCGAUGCACUGGCCGCGUGCGGCCACAUCUCGCCCGGCUGUCCACUCGCACGUCUCCUACCUCAGGGUCCGGCGCCGGCAGCCACGGCGGACUGCCAUGGGUGCGGCCAAUCUGAGCUCCUGUUGGUAGGUUAGUCCAAAAAGAAAAAAGAAUCCACACACUACACGACCCCGUCCUCCAAUACGCCACCUUCUCCCAGCCAUCUAGCACCGCCACCCGCUUCAGCUCCUGCUCAUCGAUCGCCGCCGUGCGGAGCCACCUUCCCAGUGCGCCGCUCCGCCUGCGUACACCUAUAGGCUUUCAACCACCGCCACGCGCCACUUCGCCUCCCCUUGCCCAUCGUCUCCUACACAAUCGCCUCGAAUGGCAGGAGCGGCCUCUCAUCUCUCUCUCCCUCUCUCUCUCGCUCUGUAAUGAUGGUCACGGCUGAUGCUACUUCUCCUCUCCAUCAGGAUCUCUAUGUCUCUUCCUGUCUCUCUGUGUCUCUCUCAUGGAUUGGAAACUGCAUUCUUCCAAAUAAAUGUGUGCCUCUGUUCUUGAUAUGCCACCCACCACAUGUUUGAUGUUAUGCUUAUGAGGAAUUGAUCUUUAUUUUUUCAGGUUUUUCUUUGGUGUAUUAGGCAGCCUGGUGUAAUUUGUUUCAAAAGUGAACAUGGUGUACAGUCCAAUGUAUCUAGGAAAAUUAAGUUAUGAAGAGUUGUUCAUGAUGUUGCUUGCAUAUUUUUUGUCUAACAAACUAGAUACUUAAAUGGAUAUAAACAUUGAGUAGGUGCUGAAAUAUUUCACUAAUAAUAGUUUCCAACUUGCUUUUUAGCAGAACUACAAAACUAUUUGCAACUUUUAAUUAUGUGUACUUAAAAUGGAUUUGUUGUCCAGGGCAUGUGGAUUUGAGAUCAAGUUGAAUUAUGUGCUGAUGUUAUUAUGUUUUUUGUGUGGAGAAAUUUAGGGGAUUUAGUCCAGACCCUCCACUGGCUCAAGACCCAGUGGCUCUCUGCUCCUCAACGCCCCACAUGGAGCGCCCAAUCCAGGAAAACAGACCCGUCGCACUGCCGCUCCCCAUCUCCCUGCGUCGUCCGGAGAUGGUCCGGCUGGGCGCCACCCCGGCGACCGAGUGUGUGCUGUCCAUGGAAGCCAGCUCCUCCACCCAUACCCUUCUCUACAAGGACGGCGAGGACACUGCUUCAUCAGAACUGAUCCAAACGACCACGCGCAAUCCAAGUGGAAGAAAACCAGAUGAUCGAGGUGAGAAAAAAUGUGUGUUGCUUUUAUCCAGGAAAAGUGACACUCAGAUGCACAUGCCAAAAUCACCAUAGAUUGAUUGCCUGUUUAACAACACAGAAAGAAGAAUUGCUACACCGGAACCUGGGCCAUGCAUGCGGUGAUUGAUAUUUUAGUUGCACGGUUGUUUCCAUGCUGUUCAUCUGAGGAAGGGGAGAACAUAUCCAGUGCACCGGCUCCACUGAUGCAACGGAUGCACCGAGAGAAUCUGGACCACGGGAUAGAGAGCAGACGGGCUGGAUGUUAGCAGUAGGUGCCAGCUGGUACAUUUUGCAUAAUGAACCUUGUAAAGUUAUUCAACUGCGCAUGUAGUCCCUCCAAGAUUCUUCCAUAGUCUCCUUCCGUUUGCUCUGUUCCACUCUGUACCUCUGAGGCUAUCUGCAAGCUACGGUUAGGGACCGAUCGACUCAUUUUUUAGGUGAAUAGAAAGAGUGUUCAUAAGUUAUGUAAAUGCACAGCUGCCUUUUCUCUUUUUUUUGCAAAGGAUGCUUUAGCUUAUUGUUAACUAACAAAUCUGCAAUCUGGCCAUUACAUGGAAAAGAAUGAUAAUAUCCAAAUAUGCUUAUUUAUAUGACAAAAUUAAGAGGUGUGUUUGUAUGACAGUGUUAAUAAUUACAU